rnacentral:rRNA from 1 species
CAGUCGCCGCGGUAAUACGUAGGGUGCAAGCGUUAAUCGGAAUUACUGGGCGUAAAGCGUGCGCAGGCGGUUAUAUAAGUCAGAUGUGAAAUCCCCGGGCUCAACCUGGGAACUGCAUUUGAGACUGUAUGGCUAGAGUGUGUCAGAGGGGGGUAGAAUUCCACGUGUAGCAGUGAAAUGCGUAGAUAUGUGGAGGAAUACCGAUGGCGAAGGCAGCCCCCUGGGAUAACACUGACGCUCAUGCACGAAAGCGUGGGGAGCAAACAGGAUUAGAUACCCCGGUAGUCCCUGUCUCUUAUAA